rnacentral:ncRNA from 1 species
GCCGCUGAACUUAAGCAUAUCACUAAGCGGAGGAAAAGAAACUAACAAGGAUUCCCCUAGUAACUGCUAGUGAACAGGGA